GAGUAAAUACAGCACACACCGUGUCGUUGUCUAGGAAGAUCUAGAAUCUAGAGGGAGCUUGAAGUAGUCGAGGGCUGCGACACGAUCAAUCUAUCCGUCGAUCCCUUCUCGAUCCUGCGUGGGAUCCACCGUGGUACUGUGCCGUUACCUACGUCCUAGCCAAAGAUGCACGAGGAAGAAUAUCCGCCAGGAUUAUCUACAUACCAGAGACGUUUUUCGGACCAUACUAAAACUGCGAGAGGCUGGUUUUUGCACUUGGUGCUGACACGAUCUGUCGAGGAUCUCUAAUUAUUACAUAGCAUCGGACCUCCCGGCAACCGACCCUGAUUUCUUCGAUUCAUAAAUAUUCACUGUUAGGUGAAAAACGAGCUGUCUGCCAUAGUUCAAAGAUAAGAUAUCCGCGCUAGCGGAGAACACGGAACGCUCGAUUUACGAGGCUUAGGAUCUCAGUGGAUUCCAAAAGCUUCAGAGACACACCCCCCUCGAGUCCAAGCUGUAACCCGACACAAAAGAACACCGAUAGAGUUACUCGAAUCGUUUGUUCCGAAUUUUGAUUUUUCCAGAAAGCUCGUCCCAGCGCUGAAUUAUAAAUGAAUGAAUUGGCUCGCUACAAAGAAACUAUUAAUCCUUCUAUAAUUGAAUUUAAACGAUAGUUUUGGAUAAUUCCAUUCGAAGAAACGAAAAUCGGUACACGGGUCAACAAACACAGCACGUGACGACGCUCGAAAUCGUAACGACGACUCGCUUCCCUGCCAGAGAACGGCUAAUCGUCCAAAUAUAAUAAACAAAGUUCCGAGCACACACGGAGAACACGUCAAAGGACUCCUUGCUGUUAGAAGACAUUCCAGACUUCCGAGAUAGACUUCCGUCCUCCAGAAACAAAACGCCGUCAGCACGUGCACCGAACAGCCAGGAUACCUUCGCGAUGAAGCGAGGCGAAGCACGAGUCAGUUACGAGACGCAAGAAGCGAUUUUAAAGGAUAAAAAAAAAGAUGAUUAACGAUCGGAAG